rnacentral:lncRNA from 1 species
CUACCCUAAAGUAUGUUUUGUGGUUUGCACUCCUGUAGUGUAUGAGGGAAUCAGAGAGAAAAUUGUAUUUCCUGGAGGCAAAAACACUCAGAUUCACUCAGAGAGUUUUGUUUUUGGGAAGUCCACCUCAAAUGUGGAACAGUUUCCAGUAGGAACUGUAGUACUCUACAGAUAGAAAUAAAAAGAGCAGAAACCAACAGGGAUAUGGAUAAAUAACAACCAAUCCCAAAACACAGUGUGUAUCUAGCCUUGUGUUGGGGGGCUGUGACAAGUGGUGUGACCUGAGGACUAGCUUCCCUAUGAUGAGAGUGGUUGCAUUUAACUACAGGCCAUGCACCUCCUCACCUGAAAUUGGUUAGUUGGCAGAGAGGAAAGGAAUGAAAAGGCCCCAUCUUUUUCCCUACUUACUCUCAUGGUGGUUUUCACUUGUUUGUUCAUUUGUUUUUUAUGAUACAGAAAUAUUCCUUCAAGCAGCAUAUAUACUGCAUUUUUCUGUGUUUGUUUUUUUGUUGUUGUUGUUUGUUUGUUUGUUUGUUUUCCUUUUUUUCUUUUUUCUUUUUCUGUGUGCUGCUCAAGAAAGCAACAGGACAAGUUGCCUGGACAGUCCACAGCAAUGUCAGAGCACUUGUAUCCUGCAAGUUUCCCUGCCCAAGAAACCUGUUGUAAAUUCUUGAGAUGAUAAACGAAGAAGAGAUCACAUCUGGGUUUUACCUUUCACAAGUUUCUACAUCAACUCCAUGUCUAGAAUAGCAACAACCCUGUGAACUGCAAGCCUACAGCAAAUGCUGCCAACAAGGAAAGCUACGUAUGUGAAGGCUGAGAAGAUAUAUGUACUAGACCAAGUGGAAGCCUAUUUAUAUAUUUGGGCUACAUUUCCAAUACUGAAAUACCACUGCAUUUUACCAGAGAGCUGUUAGAGUGCUAAAGCUUUUUAUACCAGUAUAAUAAAAUCGCCAUUUUCAAGGAAAAAAAAGUAUAU